CUGCCGCCGGCCAACCUGAUACAACCACCCUCAAAAUUUUCUGUUAUCCACCCCUGGAAUAUGCUCAUUCACUACUCACAAAUAUCAAGCUCGAAUUGUAGCAUUCCAUUGCCGAAACCGAACAUUAACUCACGCACAACCUCUUUUCUCUCUCUCCAUUGACGCGGACCACUACCGCCCAAACCACCGGCGAAAACCUUAUCCGACCACCUGACCACCUCCCUGUUGCCGCCUUGUGCUUCCUCUGCUUUCGUGGGACAUACGAGUCAUACCCAGUUGCUGCCUUCCUUCCUCCUUCCUUUUCUCUUGGUUCGUGUUCUGUUCAUGAAGACCAAGUUUGGUCUUUCAACUUCCUAAAUUUUUGGAACUAGUGGGCCUAUAUUCUAAGUCAAAAGGUCAAACCCAAUAACAAUCAAGAAAGCCAAGUUGGACGAAUAUUCAAUUUUGGAGCUCAGGAAGAACGGCCCAUCGAACGGGAAGUAUAAAAUUACGGUUGAGGUACGAAGAAGAUCAUGGGAUGCCUUAGAGUGAGGAUGCAACCAUCAAAUUCACGAUCGAUAAAGAUAACUAUGUCUCACUAGUAAUAAUGGAUGUAUUAAUUAAACUCUAAGUAUUAAGUUAGAUUUUAAUAUUUAUGUUUAAUCAAUGUUAGGAAUAUUUAUUAAAGUUCAUUUAGAUUUCGGUGUAAAUAUUAAAGAAUUAAUCGAAGUGAAGUAUAAUUACAGUUA